CCUACGGGUGGCAGCAGUAGGGAAUCUUCGGCAAUGGGGGCAACCCUGACCGAGCAACGCCGCGUGAGUGAAGAAGGUUUUCGGAUCGUAAAGCUCUGUUGUAAGAGAAGAACGAGUGUGAGAGUGGAAAGUUCACACUGUGACGGUAACUUACCAGAAAGGGACGGCUAACUACGUGCCAGCAGCCGCGGUAAUACGUAGGUCCCGAGCGUUGUCCGGAUUUAUUGGGCGUAAAGCGAGCGCAGGCGGUUAGAUAAGUCUGAAGUUAAAGGCUGUGGCUUAACCAUAGUACGCUUUGGAAACUGUUUAACUUGAGUGCAAGAGGGGAGAGUGGAAUUCCAUGUGUAGCGGUGAAAUGCGUAGAUAUUAGGAAGAACACCAGUGGCGAAGGCGACUUUCUGG
rnacentral:rRNA from 1 species